AUACGGAGGAUCCGAGCGUUAUCCGGAUUUAUUGGGUUUAAAGGGUGCGCAGGCGGCCAUUUAAGUCAGCGGUUAAAUCGUGGGGCUCAACCCCAUUCUGCCGUUGAUACUGGGUGGCUUGAUUGCGGUCGAGGUUGGCGGAAUUCGUUGUGUGGCGGUGAAAUGCAUAGAUAUGACGAAGAACACCGAUUGCGUAGGCAGCUGACCAGACCGCAAAUGACGCUCAUGCACGAAAUUGCGGGGAUCGAACAGGAUUAGAUACCCUGGUAGUCCGCACAGUAAACGAUGAAUACUUGUUUUCGGCGAUAUAAUGUCGGAGGCAAAGCGAAAGAGAUAAGUAUUCCACCUUGGGAGUACGCCGGCAACGGUGAAACUCAAAUGAAUUGACGGGG
rnacentral:rRNA from 1 species